rnacentral:rRNA from 1 species
GACGAAGGGGGCUAGCGUUGUUCGGAAUUACUAGGGGCGUAAAGCGUGUGUAGGUGGUUGUCAUAGUCAGGUGUGAAAGCCUUGACGACUCAACUCAAGAAAUGCACUUGAUACUGGGCAGCUAGAGGACCGGAGAGGAUAGUGGAAUUCCAGUGUAGUGGUGAAAUACGUAGAGAUUGGGAAGAACACCAGUGGCGAAGGCGGCUAUCUGGACGGUUUCUGACACUAAGACAGCGAAAGCGAUGGGGAGCCAAACAGGGAUU